rnacentral:rRNA from 1 species
UACGUAGGGGGGCUAGCGUUGCUCGGAAUCACUGGGCGUAAAGCGCACGUAGGCGGCUUGUUAAGUCAGGGGGUGAAAUCCUGGAGCUCAACUCCAGAACUGCCUUUGAUACUGGCGAGCUUGAGUUCGGGAGAGGUGAGUGGAACUGCGAGUGUAGAGGUGAAAUUCGUAGAUAUUCGCAAGAACACCAGUGGCGAAGGCGGCUCACUGGCCCGAUACUGACGCUGAGGCACGAAAGCGUGGGGAGCAAACAGG